GAUGAACGCUGGCGGCGUGCCUAAUACAUGCAAGUCGAGCGAACAGACGAGGAGCUUGCUCCUCUGACGUUUGCGGCGGACGGGAGAUUAACACGUGGAUAACCUACCUAUAAGACUGGGAUAACUUCGGGAAACCGGAUCUAAUACCGGAUUAUAUAUUUAACCGCAUGGUUCAAUAGUGAAAGACGGUUUUGCUGUCACUUAUCGAUGUGUCCGGGCCGCAUUAGCUAGUUGGUAAGGUAGCGGCUUACCAAGGCAACGAUGCGGAGCCGACCUGAGAGGGUGAGCGGCCACACUGGAACUGAGACACGGUCCAGGCUCCUACGGGAGGCAGCAGUAGGGAAUCUGCCGCAAUGGGCGAAAGCCUGACGGAGCAGCGCCGCGUGAGUGAUGAAGGUCUUCGGAUCGUAAAACUCUGUUAUUAGGGAAGAACAAAUGUGUAAGUAACUAUGCACGUCAUGACGGUACCUAAUCAGAAAGCCACGGCUAACUACGUG
rnacentral:rRNA from 1 species